rnacentral:rRNA from 1 species
ACGCUGGCGGCGUGCCUAAUACAUGCAAGUAGAACGCUGAAGGAGGAGCUUGCUUCUCCGGAUGAGUUGCGAACGGGUGAGUAACGCGUAGGUAACCUGCCUGGUAGCGGGGGAUAACUAUUGGAAACGAUAGCUAAUACCGCAUGACAACAGUUAUUGCAUGAUAACUGUUUAAAAGGGGCAACUGCUCCACUACCAGAUGGACCUGCGUUGUAUUAGCUAGUUGGUGAGGUAACGGCUCACCAAGGCAACGAUACAUAGCCGACCUGAGAGGGUGAUCGGCCACACUGGGACUGAGACACGGCCCAGACUCCUACGGGAGGCAGCAGUAGGGAAUCUUCGGCAAUGGACGGAAGUCUGACCGAGCAACGCCGCGUGAGUGAAGAAGGUUUUCGGAUCGUAAAGCUCCGUUGUAAGAGAAGAACGAGUGUGAGAGUGGAAAGUUCACACUGUGACGGUAUCUUACCAGAAAGGGACGGCUAACUACGUGCCAGCAGCCGCGGUAAUACGUAGGUCCCGAGCGUUAUCCGGAUUUAUUGGGCGUAAAGCGAGCGCAGGCGGUUAGAUAAGUCUGAAGUUAAAGGCUGUGGCUUAACCAUAGUACGCUUUGGAAACUGUUUAACUUGAGUGCAAGAGGGGAGAGUGGAAUUCCAUGUGUAGCGGUGAAAUGCGUAGAUGUAUGGAGGAACACCGGUGGCGAAAGCGGCUCUCUGGCUUGUAACUGACGCUGAGGCUCGAAAGCGUGGGGAGCAAACACGAUUAGAUACCCUGGUAGUCCACGCCGUAAACGAUGAGUGCUAGGUGUUAGACCCUUUCCGGGGUUUAGUGCCGCAGCUAACGCAUUAAGCACUCCGCCUGG